GUGCCACUGCACUCCAGCCUGGGUGACAGAGCAACAAAAAAAGAAAAAACAAAAACUGAAGACUUUGCUUUCUCCAUCUCAGCUCUACCAUUUGCCAGCUGUAUAACCUUUGAAAAAAAACAAUGUUUCACUUUUUCAAACAAUGUUUCACUUUUCCUCAUCCUUUACAGGUU